GUGAGGUCGCAGGAGUAGGUUUAUCAGGAAGUUUGUCGGUUGAAGCACAUUUGACCUUCAGAACUUUGGCCUUUGAACUGGAAUUAUCAUCCUCAUGAACGUCGACCAUCAGAUUCUUGGUUCCACUUUUUUGGAUUUUCUUUGAGAAGAUCUGGGACUGAUCCAAGAUAUCAAUAGAACCCAUAGAUUUUCCUGUAGUCUUUUCCAGAUCAGUGCUUUCUGCUCGUGCCUCCACAUCUUCCCCAUACUUGGGACAAUUCUUGUUAGUUCUCAUGUGACCAAGCUGACCACAGGCUCCACAGACAAAACUGUCUCUUGCUGACUUCUUCUCUUUCAUGGGCUUUAUUCCCUCCCCUAGUAUUUUAACUUUCUUAUUAAACAAUCCAGAGUCCAGAAUAUCAAACUUUUUCUUGGGUUUCACCUUGCUAGAUGGGGUUCUUUUAGUAGCAAACCCUUCAGCCUCUUUCUGAUCUCCAAUGAAAUCCAACACAUUUAGCCCAUUAGACUUUAUGCUUGGCUUGGCAAAUAUCUGAGGUUUUUUGCCCCUAUCAGUGCUUUCAGUACUAAACCUGUAUCUUAUAUCUGGCAUGAAACCAAUUUGUUCGCCCAUGGCUUUGUCCUUUUUUUUCUUCUUCCGAUCAGCUUCAUCAUCAUCCAUGAGCAUGCGGCAUAAUUCUGCAGCUUCAGCUGCCUCAUCCUCGAUCUCCUCUUCCACCUGAGCCUGAAAGGGGCGUCUUCUCAUCUUGAGUCCUUUGACUCCAUCAGCAUUAUCAUGUUUGGGCUCAUGACUACCCUCCUCACCAUCCUCGAAGUCCUCUGCGUCAAGAAGAUUUUCCAAGUCACCAGCAAAUGAGUCCAGGUCACUGUUCACUUCAGAGUCACUCUCAUUUUCUUCACCAUCAACUGCACUAAGAUUUUGGACUUGUCGGUCCCAGAUUUCCUGACAUUUUUCUCUUGUUUGCUGCUGCAGCUGCAAAAAGGACAUACGCUGGCCACGAGCGUAUUUGCUUAUAGUUGUUGGAUCAACUUUCACACCGGAUGCAGCUUGCUCGCUAGAAAGCUUGCGAAUCAUAGCAAUUCGGUGCCACCUUGUUAGUUUAGCAAUCUGCUCCUCUGGAACAUUAAACUUGAGAAGAACCUCGCGUGCAGCUUCCAUGCUCAGUCUUCGUAGGUCUGCAUCAGUGCCUGUUACUGUUGACCCCUUGGCAACAACUGUUUUUUUCUUGGAGAUAGCAUUUGGUAUUGGUGCCUUAGGAGUGGUGCGAACAUAACUGAACCCUAAUCCCCGACCAGAUGGAUCACCGACACCAGUAAUUUCCAGACGCUCAAUAUUUUCUCUGUCCUGACUAGUACAGGCAACAAAGUUACUACUCAAGCUCCAUGGAGUUAUUUGCAGUUCCCUCUCGAUGUGUGAUGCAGCAGCUAAAGCAAUAGCUUCAUCAGGG
rnacentral:misc_RNA from 1 species